rnacentral:rRNA from 1 species
GGGAAGGACUCGGGGCCUAUCAGCUUGUUGGUGGGGUGAUGGCCUACCAAGGAUCCGACGGGUGGGAGCCUGCAAGGGCCACCGGCCUACUGGGACUGAAAUGGGCCCAUACUCCUAUGGGAGGCAGCCUGAGAAUAUUGGCAAUGGGAGGAAGCCUGAUGCUACGACGCCGGGGGAGGGAUGACGGCCUUCUGGUUGCAAACCUCUUUCAAAAGGACCGGCUAAAUUCGACGCCACCUGCACAAGAAUAAUCUGCCUGCUACGUGCCAG